rnacentral:lncRNA from 1 species
AUCCUCUCAUUUUAUCCCCAUUUCCUUCGGAGGAAGAGGAAUCCGAGGUUCAGAGACCAAAGUGUUUUGCCCAAGGACACAGAGCGAGUGCUGGGAGCCGGGAAAGCUUCUCCGCUCUGUCAGUCGUCAAAGCCGGCCUGGACCCGCCUUCCGUCCCCAAUUCGCGUAGCUCUGGAACCAAGGGAGCGGAGCGAGAAGCCGAAACGGCAACCCCUCCCGGCAACCCCUCCCGGCCCUCGUACAGCGCCUCCAGGGACUUAAACUUGCCUCAGCCACGUGAUUACCCUGAUCUGCCUGCUGAGAGAUGAGCAAAGGUGGAGAGGGACUAGAUCUCAGCAGAGACAGCAGUUCCUGAGCGCCCACCCCCCAGCGCUUCCAGAAAUGCAAUGCAACAUGGACCAGCCUGUGAGCAUUUGCUCCUCCUCAGGUUUCCUUUGGGUGAGGAUGAAGAAUCAAGCAGAAGGGGCUGAGCCCAGGCAGGGUUUCUCACCAAAGUGGACAAGCCAGAAGUCUGACUGUAAGGGAAACCUAGAUGGUGCUAACAUGGAACCCUGGAGGCUGGAGAAGCAAGUUAAUCUAUACACUCAAGCCAACCCUGACUCACAGGGAAGUGACUUCAAAACAACUUUCAUAACUCCACCUGGAUGCUGGCCACCUUUCCCUUCUCAGCUCUGUCUUUGGCUUCGUGCCACUCCCUUAUUCUCUGAUCCUCCCUUUUCUUAUCUCUAA